UAAGGACUCGUAUGUGAUGUACUUCUGGAUGCUGCUGUUACCGUCUCUCAGCGGAGCUGCUGUUCUCAUUAUAGCUGCGGCUCUUGGUGAAUAUGGGGCUAUCUUUUCUGCAGUGCUUUUCCCCUGCAUGGCAAAAGUUAUUAUUUCUCAAUAUCAUAGACUGAGCAGCUUUCAAAGGCUACCAAACCCUGUUUACCUGGGAACACUGACUGCGGGCCUAAUUCAUUCCAUAGCUUGCUUUCUCUAGAAAAUUUUACCUAAUAUCCUUUGCAGAUAGCUUAUGUCAUCAAUCUCUUUCAAAAGUUGAAAUCUUUUGGAUGUUUUGUCAAUUAUUCCUUGACCGCUCACGUUUUUGGCCAGCUUAUACCCUCUUAAAUUUUUCACUUGUCCAUUUUUGUGUGCUCGCUGGACUUUUUUGGAAAGUUUUAAACCAGAACCCAGGACGACUCAAAGAAGCUGACACUGAUUCCAAGUUUUCCAGCAUAGGAGACUUAAUAGAAGCUGGAAAGAGCCCGGACAGAUUCUGUAUUUACUGUGAGGUGAGCACUUAUUUGACCAGC